rnacentral:sRNA from 1 species
GCUGGGCACGGUGGAGCACGCCUGUAAUCCCUGUGAUUUGGGAGGCUGAGGCAGGAGGAUUGCGAGUUCAAAGGCAGCUUCAGCAAAAGUGAGGCACUAUGCAACUUAGUGAGACCCUGUCUCUA